rnacentral:rRNA from 1 species
AUAUUGCACAAUGGGCGAAAGCCUGAUGCAGCUACGCCGCGUGUGUGAUGAAGUCCUUCGGGUAGUAAAGUUCUUUGUCCAGGGAUAAAAAGGACAGUACCUGAAAAACAAGCCACGGCUCACUACCUGCCAGCAGCCGCGGUAAUACGUAGGUGGCGAGCGUUGUCCGGAAUUACUGGGCGUAAAGGAUGCGUAGGUGGAUACUUAAGUGGGAUGUGAAAUCCCCGGGCUCAACCCGGGAACUGCAUUCCAAACUGGGUAUCUAGAGUGCAGGAGAGGAAAGCGGAAUUCCUAGUGUAGCGGUGAAAUGCGUAGAUAUUAGGAGGAACACCAGUGGCGAAGGCGGCUUUCUGGACUGUAACUGACACUGAGGCAUGAAAGCGUGGGUAGCAAACAGG